UACGUAGGUGGCGAGCGUUGUCCGGAUUUACUGGGCGUAAAGGGAGCGUAGGCGGAUUUUUAAGUGAGAUGUGAAAUAAUCGGGCUCAACUUGAGUGCUGCAUUUCAAACUGGAAGUCUAGAGUGCAGGAGAGGAGAAUGGAAUUCCUAGUGUAGCGGUGAAAUGCGUAGAUAUAUGGAGGAACACCGGUGGCGAAAGCGGCUCUCUGGCCUGUAACUGACACUGAGGCUCGAAAGCGUGGGGAGCAAACAGG
rnacentral:rRNA from 1 species